rnacentral:rRNA from 1 species
AGUGAACGCUGGCGGCAGGCCUAACACAUGCAAGUCGAACGAGCGGCGGACGGGUGAGGAAUGUAUGGGAAUCUGCCCUGUCGUGGGGGAUAACGUAGGGAAACGGUGGCUAAUACCGCAUACGAUUGAAUGAGCCGAUGUGGGAUUAGCGAGUUGGCGGGGUAAAGGCCCACCAAGGCGACGAUCUGUAGCUGGUCUGAGAGGAUGAUCAGCCACACUGGAACUGAGACACGGCCCAGACUCCUACGGGAGGCAGCAGUGGGGAAUAUUGCACAAUGGGCGCAAGCCUGAUGCAGCCAUGCCGCGUGGAUGAAGAAGGCCUUCGGGUUGUAAAGCCCUUUUGUUGGGAAAGCGUUACCCGCAGAAUAAGCACCGGCUAACUUCGUGCCAGCAGCCGCGGUAAUAC